UAGAAAUGCCACCUCUGCCUCUCAGAUUC
rnacentral:piRNA from 1 species